AUUGAACGCUGGCGGCAGGCUUAACACAUGCAAGUCGAGCGGGGUGAUGGUGCUUGCACUAUCACUUAGCGGCGGACGGGUGAGUAAUGCUAGGAAUCUGCCUAUUAGUGGGGGACAACAUCUCGAAAGGGAUGCUAAUACCGCAUACGUCCUACGGGAGAAAGCAGGGGAUCACUUGUGACCUUGCGCUAAUAGAUGAGCCUAAGUCGGAUUAGCUCGUUGGUGGGGUAAAGGCCUACCAAGGCGACGAUCUGUAGCGGGUCUGAGAGGAUGAUACGCCACACUGGGACUGAGACACGGCCCAGACUCCUACGGGAUGCAGCAGUGGGGAAUGUUGGACAAUUGGGGGAACCCUUAUCCAGCCAUGCCGCGUGUGUGAAGAAGGCCUUAUGGUUGUAAAGCACUUUAAGCGAGGAGGAGGCUCUUUUGGUUAAUACCCAAGAUGAGUGGACGUUACUCGCAGAAUAAGCACCGGCUAACUCUGUGCCAGCCGCCGCAGUAA
rnacentral:rRNA from 1 species